rnacentral:lncRNA from 1 species
CUCAAAUGGCUUUCUUCUCCUUCCCAUCCCACUCCACUUACCCACUGCACCAUCUCUACCAAACAGAAAUCAGAAAAGAACCAAACAAAACUGAGUCACUGAAAUUAGCAUAGAACCUGAAAGGGAGAAGAUGAAGUCAACAAGAUGAGAAGUGAAGGAGGAAAAAAGAAUGUUUCCAGUAGAAGAGAAAUGUUACUUCACAAGAAGGUCUGCCUACUCCACAGAUGAGCUUCUUUACCUGUUCCAUCCAGGGGACAAGGUGCCAUUAAAGUCCUGGAAAAAUCAAGGACCAAAUCAACAACUGGCUGAAAAAUGGACUGGAUCCCAUGAUGAGAUGCUGACCUCUCAUUCAUCAGUCAACCUGUCCAGAACGAAACCAUGGGUCCACCACUCUGAAAUAAAGGUGGCUUCACCCUAGCUUGACCCCACAGAGGAGGCUGCUUGGACAUGUGAGCCAAAAGAAGAGAUUAAAAUACUACUUAAGAAAAACCACAAAUAAGUAAAGCCCUAUUUUUAAUUUCCUGUAGAAUGAAUAGAAUGAAACACUUGCAG